rnacentral:rRNA from 1 species
GGACAACGUGCCCUAAAGUGGGGGAUAAUCAGGGGAAACUCUGGAUAAUACCCCAUAGAUCAUGAGAUCUGGAAUGACUUAUGGUUCAAAGUUCCGGCGCUUUAGGAUCGGUCUGCGGCCUAUCAGGUAGUAGUGGGUGUAAUGUACCCCCUAGCCUAUUACGGGUAUGGGCCUUGAGAGAGGGAGCCCAGAGUUGGAUUCUGAGACACGAAUCCAGGCCCUACGGGGCGCAGCAGUCGCGAAAACUUCACAAUGGGCGAAAGCCCGAUGAGGGAAUUCCUAGUGCUAGCACUUUUGUGUUAGCUUUUCUUUAGCGUAGAUAACUAGAGGAAUAAGGGCUGGGUAAGACGGGUGCCAGCCGCCGCGGCAAUACCCGCAGCCCGAGUGGUGGUCGAUUUUAUUGAGUCUAAAACGUUCGUAGCCGGUCUGAUAGAUCCUUGGGUAAAUCGGGGGGCUUAACCUUCCGAAUUCCGAGGAGACCGUCAGGCUUGGGAUCGGGAGAGGUAAGAGGUACUUCAGGGGUAGGGGUAAAAUCCUGUAAUCCUUGGAGGACCACCGGUGGCGAAGGCGUCUUACUAGAACGAAUCCGACGGUGAGGGACGAAGCCCUAGGUCGCAAACGGGAUUAGAUACCCCGGUAGUCUAGGGUGUAAACGCUGCAGACUUGGUGUUGGAGGCCCUUCGGGGGCAUUCAGUGCCGGAGAGAAGUUGUUAAGUCUGCUACUUGGGGAGUACGUCCGCAAGGAUGAAACUUAA